rnacentral:rRNA from 1 species
UGCGCGUUACGGAAUAACUGCUUCACAAGUGCUUCUCACCACCACAGAUGUAGUGCGGCGUGCGCAUUAUUCAAAUGCGCAGCGUGCGUUAUUUAAAUUAAUUUCCAUGGGCGUAGUUCCAGUUAUCAAUGAGAAUGACACUGUCGGAACUUCUGAGAUUAGAUUUGGUGACAAUGACCGUUUGGCAGCGCUAGUCGCGCUACUUACUCAAGCAGAUUUGCUUGUCUUAGUUUCAGAUAUUGAUGCGCUUUACGAUGCGCCACCGAGUGGCUCAAACGCAAAGAAAAUCACCGAAGUUAAAGAUCUAAAUCAGAUUGCCGAUAUCAAAUUAGGCGGAGCAGGCAGCGCUGGCGUCGGUAGCGGUGGCAUGGUUACCAAGAUCGAAGCGGCAAAGAUCGCUACUAGCGCAGGAACUGCGAUGUUACUAACGAGCGCUACAGAUUUAGCUAAAGCAAUCAACGCGAAGAACCUUACCCAGGCUUGACAUGCAGGGGCUAGGCCGGUGAAAGCUGGCUGAUUACCUUCGGGUGUGACCUGCACAGGUGUUGCAUGGCUGUCGUCAGCUCGUGUCGUGAGAUGUCGGGUUAAGUCCCUUAACGAGCGAAACCCCUACCACUAGUUACCAGCGGGUAAAGCCGGGCACUUUAGUGGGACUGCCGUUGUCAAAACGGAGGAAGGUGGGGACGACGUCAAGUCAUCAUGGCCCUUACGCCUGGGGCUACACACGUGCUACAAUGGCGCGUACAGAGAGAAGCAGAACCGUGAGGUGAAGCAGACCUCAGAAAGCGCGCCCCAGUUCGGAUUGCAGGCUGCAACUCGCCUGCAUGAAGUUGGAAUCGCUAGUAAUCGCGGAUCAGCUACGCCGCGGUGAAUAUGUUCCUGAGCCUUGUACACACCGCCCGUCAAGCCACGAAAGCUGAGAGCGCCCGAAGUCGCUAGCCCAACCGCAAGGGGGGCGGCGCCGAAGGCGAACUUGGUGAUUGGGACUAAGUAUCGUGACUGGGAAAC